rnacentral:rRNA from 1 species
AUUGAACGCUGGCGGCAGGCCUAGCACAUGCAAGUCGAGCGGAUGAAGGGAGCUUGCUCCUGGAUUCAGCGGCGGACGGGCGAGUAAUGCCUAGGAAUCUGCCUGGUAGUGGGGGAUAACGUCCGGAAACGGGCGCUAAUACCGCAUACGUCCUGAGGGAGAAAGUGGGGGAUCUUCGGACCUCACGCUAUCAGAUGAGCCUAGGUCGGAUUAGCUAGUUGGUGGGGUAAAGGCCUACCAAGGCGACGAUCCGUAACUGGUCUGAGAGGAUGAUCAGUCACACUGGAACUGAGACACGGUCCAGACUCCUACGGGAGGCAGCAGUGGGGAAUAUUGGACAAUGGGCGAAAGCCUGAUCCAGCCAUGCCGCGUGUGUGAAGAAGGUCUUCGGAUUGUAAAGCACUUUAAGUUGGGAGGAAGGGCAGUAAGUUAAUACCUUGCUGUUUUGACGUUACCAACAGAAUAAGCACCGGCUAACUUCGUG